rnacentral:rRNA from 1 species
AUUGAACGCUGGCGGCAGGCCUAUCACAUGCAAGUCGAGCGGAUGAAGGGAGCUUGCUCCUGGAUUCAGCGGCGGACGGGUGAGUAAUGCCUAGGAAUCUGCCUGGUAGUGGGGGAUAACGUCCGGAAACGGGCGCUAAUACCGCAUACGUCCUGAGGGAGAAAGUGGGGGAUCUUCGGACCUCACGCUAUCAGAUGAGCCUAGGUCGGAUUAGCUAGUUGGUGGGGUAAAGGCCUACCAAGGCGACGAUCCGUAACUGGUCUGAGAGGAUGAUCAGCCACACUGGAACUGAGACACGGUCCAGACUCCUACGGGAGGCAGCAGUGGGGAAUAUUGGACAAUGGGCGAAAGCCUGAUCCAGCCAUGCCGCGUGUGUGAAGAAGGUCUUCGGAUUGUAAAGCACUUUAAGUUGGGAGGAAGGGCAGUAAGUUAAUACCUUGCUGUUUUGACGUUACCAACAGAAUAAGCACCGGCUAACUUCGUG